rnacentral:rRNA from 1 species
CCAAUAGCGUAUAUUAAAGUUGUUGCAGUUAAAAAGCUCGUAGUUGAAUUUCGGGGUCAGCAAGUUGGUCGUGCCACCGGUAUGCACUGGCUUUGCUGAUUCCUCCUUCUUGUAGAACCGUAAUGCCAUUAAGUUGGUGUUGCGGGAAAACAGGACUGUUACUUUGAAAAAAUUAGAGUGUUUAAAGCAGGCUAACGCUUGAAUACAUUAGCAUGGAAUAAUGAAAUAGGACGACGAUCCUAUUUUGUUGGUUUCUAGGAUUGACGUAAUGAUUAAUAGGGAUAGUUGGGGGCAUUAGUAUUCAAUUGUCAGAGGUGAAAUUCUUGGAUUUAUUGAAGACUGACUACUGCGAAAGCAUUUGCCAAGGAUGUUUUCAUUAAUCAAGAACGAAAGUUAGGGGAUCGAAGACGAUCAGAUACCGUCGUAGUCUUAACCAUAAACUAUGCCGACUAGGGAUCGGAUGAUGUUAAUUUUAUAAUGACUCAUUCGGCGCCUUACG